rnacentral:rRNA from 1 species
AUGGCUGUCGUCAGUUCGUGCCGUGAGGUGUUAGGUUAAGUCCUGCAACGAACGCAACCCUUGUUGCCAGUUAAUUUCUCUGGCGAGACUGCCCCGCAAAACGGGAGGAAGGUAGGGAUGACGUCAAGUCAGCACGGCCUUUAUACCUUGGGCUACACACACGCUACAAUGGGUGGUACAAUUGGUCGCAAUGGAGUGAUCCGGAGCUAAUCCAAAAAACCAUCCUCAGUACAGAUUGCAGGCUGAAACCCGCCUGCAUGAAGUCGGAGUUGCUAGUAACCGCAGGUCAGCAUACUGCGGUGAACUACGUUCUCGGGCCUU